CGAAUCUAAGAUCAUCAAAAGCGAUGUAUUUUUAUCUGCAUAAAGGUAUUGAGAUUUGAUCUCAUCUUUAUUUUUAUUUUCAAAUUAUAUGUACGUCUUUAUUCAUGGGCUCGAAUAGGAUUAGAUAUGAUCUAAUACAUAUGAGGGGUUAAAGAGUUUAAUCCGAUUCAUUUUCCACUACUCUUGAAAAGAUUUUGAAAUCUAUGCAUACAUCCUAUCUGAUUUUCUAACACC
rnacentral:lncRNA from 1 species